AAGUCGUAACAAGGUUUCCGUAGGUGAACCUGCGGAAGGAUCAUUACCGAGUAGAGGGUCUCCUGGGCCCGCACUCCAACCCUUGCGUACACACUCACCGUUGCUUUGGCGGGUCAGCGUCGCCCUUGCAGCUGAAUGCCCGGUUUCUUUCCGGCUUGCAUCGCUCGCAGGGUCGUACCCGGCCGGCUUCGUUCCGGUCACGCCUGCCGGAGUACUCUUCAAACUCGUGUUAAAAACCCGUGCAGUCUGAGCUCACCGAGCAAUCAAUCAAAACUUUCAACAACGGAUCUCUUGGUUCUGGCAUCGAUGAAGAACGCAGCGAAAUGCGAUAAGUAAUGUGAAUUGCAGAAUUCAGUGAAUCAUCGAAUCUUUGAACGCACAUUGCGCCCCUUGGUAUUCCGAGGGGCAUACCUGCUCGAGCGUCAUUGCAAAACUCAAGCUCAGCUUGGUAUUGGGCACCCGUCCCGAGCGGACGUGCCUUAAAGGCCUCGGCAGCGUUGGCCCGGCUUCAGGCGUAGCAGAAACCCUCGCCUUGGAAGCCGCGGUCCCGCUCGCCGUAAAGCUCCCCUUCCAUCAAGGUUGACCUCGGAUCAGGUAGGGAUACCCGCUGAACUUAAGCAUAUCAAUAAGCGGAGGAAAAGAAACCAACAGGGAUUGCCCUAGUAACGGCGAGUGAAGCGGCAGCAGCUCAAAUUUGAAAUCUGGCGCCAAUCGGGGCCCGAGUUGUAAUUUGCAGAGGAUGCUUCGGCGUCGGCUCCGGUCUAAGUUUCUUGGAACAGGACGUCGCAGAGGGUGAGAAUCCCGUACGCGACCGGCCGCCUUCGCCGUGUGAAGCUCCUUCGACGAGUCGAGUUGUUUGGGAAUGCAGCUCUAAAUGGGAGGUAAAUUUCUUCUAAAGCUAAAUACUGGCCAGAGACCGAUAGCGCACAAGUAGAGUGAUCGAAAGAUGAAAAGCACUUUGGAAAGAGAGUUAAAAAGCACGUGAAAUUGUUGAAAGGGAAGCGCUUGCAACCAGACUUGACCGUAGUUGCUUAUCCGGGCCCUCGGGCUCGGUGCACUCUUCUACGGUUAGGCCAGCAUCGGUUCGAGCGGUUGGACAAAGGCUCCGGGAACGUAGCUCCUCUCGAGGAGUGUUAUAGCCCGGUGCGGAAUGCAGCCAGCCCGGACCGAGGCCCGCGCAUCUGCUAGGAUGCUGGCGUAAUGGUUGUAAGCGGCC
rnacentral:rRNA from 1 species